GUAAGGUUUCCAGAACAGAAAAA
rnacentral:piRNA from 1 species